AUUGAACGCUGGCGGCAGGCCUAACACAUGCAAGUCGAACGAGUGGCGGACGGGUGAGUAAUGUCUGGGAAACUGCCUGAUGGAGGGGGAUAACUACUGGAAACGGUAGCUAAUACCGCAUACCAUCAGAUGUGCCCAGAUGUGAUUAGCUAGUUGGUGGGGUAACGGCUCACCAAGACGACGAUCCCUAGCUGGUCUGAGAGGAUGACCAGCCCCAUGUGAAUCGAGACACGGUCCAGACUUCUACGUGAGGCAGCAGUGGGGAAUAUUGGACAAUGGGCGCAAGCCUGAUGCAGCCAUGCCGCGUGUAUGCAGAAGGCCUUCGGGUUGUAAAGUACUUUCAGCGGGGAGGCGUUACCCGCAGAAGAAGCACCGGCUAACUCCGUGCCAGCAGCCGCGGUAAUAC
rnacentral:rRNA from 1 species